GCCCGGUUAGCUCAAUCGGUAGAGCGUAAGACUCUUAGUUUCUCUUGAAUCUGGUAUCUUAAGGCUGCGGGUUCGACCCCCGCAUCGGGCU